rnacentral:rRNA from 1 species
UACGUAGGGUGCAAGCGUUAAUCGGAAUUACUGGGCGUAAAGCGUGCGCAGGCGGUGAUGUAAGACAGUUGUGAAAUCCCCGGGCUCAACCUGGGAACUGCAUCUGUGACUGCAUUGCUGGAGUGCGGCAGAGGGGGAUGGAAUUCCGCGUGUAGCAGUGAAAUGCGUAGAUAUGCGGAGGAACACCGAUGGCGAAGGCGGCAUCCUGGACCAACACUGACGCUGAGGAGCGAAAGCCAGGGGAGCAAACGGG